GAAAUGCGAUAAGUAAUGUGAAUUGCAGAAUUCAGUGAAUCAUCGAAUCUUUGAACGCACAUUGCGCCCGCCAGCAUUCUGGCGGGCAUGCCUGUCCGAGCGUCAUUUCAACCCUCAGAACCCCUUGCGGGAUCUGGCGUUGGGGAUUGGCAUCCAGCCAGCCCCGAAAUCUAGUGGCGGUCCCUCCGCGACCUCCCCUGUGCAGUAGCGAUACCUCGCAGCGGGACAGCGGUCUGACCACGCCGUAAAACCCCCAACUUCUCAAGGUUGACCUCGAAUCAGGUAGGAAUACCCGCUGAACUUAAGC
rnacentral:misc_RNA from 1 species